rnacentral:lncRNA from 1 species
CCAAACCAAACUAAAAAAACAUGAUCCUUCAUAUAAUUUAAUAUUUUAAAAAUAUCUUAAUGAAUGUGCUAACAGUUCUCAACCCUUAACAUUGCUGUUAAUAAUACCAUAAAUUUGUAUGAUGUGUUUUAAGCUUUAAAACACUUUCAAAUCCGUUAUCUCAUUUGAUCCUUGCAAUAAUCCUAUGAAGCAGGGCAAAUAAUAAUAUGCCAAUUUUACAGCUAAUAAUAGGCUCAGAGAACUUAUGUAAUUUCCCCAAGUUUGCAAUUAGCCAGCACAAAGCCAGGAACAGAACCUAAGUUUCUCAAUGCUCUGCCCAUUAAUUCCCAAAUGUCAACCCACAAGGCAAUGCUCACCCAUUACAAAUUAAAAACAAGGAUCGUGUAAGUAGUAUCAAAGCAAAUAAUUUCAACACUUGUUUUUUCUUAUCCCCAAAUCCCCCCAGUACAUAGUUGCAUAUUGUAUUUGUGAGUGCCGCUGGUUGUGCCAUGUGGGACGCCACCUCAGCAUGGCCUGAUGAACAGUGCCACGUCCACACCCAGGAUCUGAACCAGUGAAAGCCUGGGCUGCCAAAGAGGAGCGCGCAAACUUAACCACUCCGCCACGGGGCUGGCCCCGUAAUUUCAACACCUUUAUUGAGAUUGUAAUUUUACUGCUUUUUGGGAUUUAAAAUGCUCUUUGUUAGACUUCUUAUCACUGUGAUGGACUAAGUUGAUAUGGGAAGCACCCAUCAUUCCUAACACAGAUAAAUGUUCCAUAAAAUACAACAAAAACAUUUGAAAUAUACAACUAAGCACUAAAGAAAUUGAAAUCCUCAGGUGCCAGAAAUGAAGAGAACACUAAAACGUGGUGAGCAAGAGGUGAGGCUAAAUAGGCAACUGGAGAAGUAGAAUCAGAAAUUGGACUUAGGCAUGGGAGCUGGAAUGGGAGCUGAGACCCCAUGUGCCUCAGUCGAGUUGGAACUGAGCAUAGAGCCGGGAUCCUAGAAGACCUUUGCUGCUGUGAAAAUCUAGAUUCUAGAAUAUCUCCUCCCAUUAGCCUGAGAAUUAGGGGAGAAAGCAGACUGAUUACCACCCAGAUGACAUAGCUCCCAAACUGAGCUGCACAUAGGAGCGUGGGCCAAAUGGGCAUUCAUGAAUAGUGUGGGAAACCCAAACCAAGGUAGCACAGAAAAACUGGCUUGAACCAUGGAAACCUGAAGGACAAAUACAAAAGUGUCCCAUAGUAACAGUUUACAAUCCUGGAUACAUGAGACACCAUGAAAAGAAAUACCCAGGAUGACAUGGGGAAAAAAAAAAUCUAUCUAUCUAUCUAUCUAUCUGUCUAUCUGUCUAUCUUCCAGGGGAGGAAGUUAGCAGAAUUCAUAACCCAAGAAUUACAGACAAUAGAGCAAAGAGACUAUAAACAUGGCUUGAUGAGCAGUGUGCAAGUUGGCCCUCGGGAUCCAAACCUGUGAACUCUGGACCACUGAAGCAGAGCGUGUGAACUUCACCACCACACCACCGUGCUGGCCCCAAAAUAAAUCUUUAAAAAAAAACUUAGUAGACUAAACAUAGCUUAAGAGGAAAUCAGUAAAUUGGAAGAUAGAGUUGAAGAAAUUUCACAGAAUGCAACACAAAAAAGAUAAAAAGAAAUAUUAAAAAGAAAGAAGCACAGAGAAUAGAAUAUUAAUGAGCAUUACAGAAGGACAUAAUUGAGGGAACAGGAGAGAAAUUUACAAUAAAAAAGGGCUAUGAUAGAGAUUACUGCUUGUUCCCAAUAGCUAAUCCCCCCCUCUGCCUUAUUCACAGAAUUGCCCAUUUUUAGCUGGAAAUUUGGCUGCCCAGAAUAAAGACAAAAUUUCCCAGAUUCCCUUGUAUCUGGACUGACCAUAUGACUAUAUUCUGGGAUGUAACCAAAACAGCAUGUACAACUUCUAGAAACAUCCUCAAAAGCAGGAGGUAGGCCCUUCUCUGUGCUUUUUCCUUCCUAGUAACUGGAAAGCAGAUGUUAUGGUUUAAGUCUGAAUAGAGAAUCCACUUGCUGAAAAUGGUAGAAUAAUACAAUAGAAGGGCCCCUGAGCCCAUGACAUUAUCAGACACCACCUGGAUGGCCCAAUUUAUGUAAGAAAGAAGUAAAUGUCUACCUUGUACAAACCACUCUGAUGUGGAGUUGUUUUUAAUCACUUGCAGCAGAACCUAAUCCUAAAUUACACAAUGAUUGAGAAUUUUCUAAGAUUAAAGGUGUGUCUUCAAUUUGAAAGAGCAAACUGAACUUUGAGCUAGAAAAAUGAAAUUAAAUCCACACAUGAACACAUAAUAGUGAAACCACACAACAUCAAAUGUAAAGAGAAAAACCUGAAAAGCAAAUCGGAGGGAAAAGAGAUUCUUAUCUGUAAAGGAAAGGCAAUCGUAAUGACGACAGACUUCUCAUCCGAAACAAUAGAUGCAAGAAGUAGUGAAGUGAUAUCUUGAAAAUGCUGAACGCAAUAAUGGUCAACAUAGAGUUCCAUGCUUUACCUAAACUAUAGUUCAAGAAGGAGGGCAAAUAGGCAUGUUUUCAGACAUACACAGAUUAAUAAUAACAGCAAGUGCUAUAUAAUACAAUUUUACAAGGUACUGUUCUAAGUGCAUUAUAUAUUUUAAUUCAGUAAUCCCCACAACAACCCUCUGAGAUAGAUACUAUUAAUAUUACCAUAUUAGAGAUGUUGAAACUAAGAUACAGGGAGGUUAAGUAACUUGCCCAAGGUCGCACAGCUAGUAAGUUGCCAAAUCAGGAUUACAGCACAGGCAUUCUGCCCCAGAUUCCAUGGUUUCAAUCACUCACAGUAACAGAGUUUGUUACUCACAGACCUUCACUGAAAUUACUACCAAAAGAUUGGUACUGAACAUGGACAGAAAAAGUAGGACGUAAGCAGAAGAAUAAGAC